rnacentral:rRNA from 1 species
GACAGAGGGGGCAAGCGUUGCUCGGAAUCACUGGGCGUAAAGCGCACGUAGGCGGGUCUUUAAGUCAGGGGUGAAAUCCUGGAGCUCAACUCCAGAACUGCCUUUGAUACUGAAGAUCUCGAGUCCGGAAGAGGUGAGUGGAACUCCGAGUGUAGAGGUGAAAUUCGUAGAUAUUCGGAAGAACACCAGUGGCGAAGGCGGCUCACUGGUCCGGUACUGACGCUGAGGUGCGAAAGCGUGGGGAGCAAACAGG